GCCUGACUGACAUGAAGCACCAACACUAGCUGUUUCAUAAAUAUUUACUGUUGAUGAUGGCAAUGACCUUGAUGCUGAUGAGCAGCCUGGCCAGGAGGAUGCUUCAUGUGGAGGAAAGAAGUGCUGGAGACAGGCUGAUUCUAGUGCCAGAAGAGGAAUUCACUUGACUGCCAUAAAGACCAGAUUGCAGUUGAGCAUAGUGGAGCAUGCCUGUAAUCCCACCACUCAAGGAGGCUAAGGACCAUAACAGGACUUGAACUCAGAGCCUGGGUGCUAUCUCUC